GGGCGCAGCUGAUGAUCAACGCCGCGUGGGGGAUGAAGGUCUUCGGAUCGUAAACCCCUGUCGAACGGGACGAAAGACCUGGGAGCUAAUCAUCCUGGGAGUGACGGUACCGUUAAAGGAAGCCACGGCUAACUCUGUGCCAGCAGCCGCGGUAAUACAGAGGUGGCAAGCGUUGUUCGGAAUUACUGGGCGUAAAGGGCGCGUAGGCGGCCUUCUAAGUCAGACGUGAAAUCCCCCGGCUCAACCUGGGAACUGCGUCUGAUACUGGGGGGCUAGAGUAUGGGAGAGGGAUGUAGAAUUCCAGGUGUAGCGGUGAAAUGCGUAGAUAUCUGGAGGAAUACCGGUGGCGAAGGCGGCAUCCUGGACCAUUACUGACGCUGAGGCGCGAAAGCCAGGGGAGCAAACGGGAUUAGAUACCCCGGAUAGUCCUAGCCCUAAACGAUGAAUGCUUGGUGUGGCGGGUAUCGAUCCCUGACGUGCCGAAGCUAACGCAUUAAGCAUUCCGCCUGGGGAGUACGGUCGCUAGGCUGAAACUCAAAGGAAUUGACGGUGGCCCGCACAAGCGGUGGAGCAUGUGGUUCAAUUCGACGCAACGCGAAGAACCUUAGCUGGGCUCGAAAUGCAGAUGACAUCCGGCGAACG
rnacentral:rRNA from 1 species